rnacentral:snoRNA from 1 species
GCUCCCUUUCUUGGCAGGAUCGGGUUUUCCUGUACCCGUUUCUGUAAUGUGCGGAGGUAAAAAAAUACUUGCUCAGCGUCAUGUUCUUCGGUGCCAGCGGUUUUCCCAUCCGCUGGUUCUAUCCUCAAGCGCCGGGACACGG